GCAAGUAAAAGUCGUAACAAGGUCUCCGUAGGUGAACCUGCGGAGGGAUCAUUACAGAGUUCAUGCCCUACCGGGUAGAUCUCCCACCCUAUGUUAUUAUUACUUUGUUGCUUUGGCGGGCCGUUAGGCUCCGGCCCGACUACCGGCCCCGGCUGGUAAGCGCCCGCCAGAGGACCCUAAACCCUGAAUAUUAGUGUCGUCUGAGUACUAUAUAAUAGUUAAAACUUUCAACAACGGAUCUCUUGGUACUG
rnacentral:misc_RNA from 1 species